CAAUAGCGUAUAUUAAAGCUGUUGCGGUUAAAAAGCUCGUAGUUGGAUUUCUGUCAAGGACAACUGGUCCGCCCCUCGGGUGAGCACAUAGUUUGGUCUUGGCAUCUUGUUGGAAACUGUUGCUGCACUUGGUUGUGUGGCGCAGUGUCCAGCACUUUCACUUUGAGGAAAUUGGAGUGUUUCAAGCAGGCACAUGCCUUUGGACACAGUAGCAUGGAAUAAUUAGAUUGGGCUUUUGCUCCAACUUGUCGGUUUCUGGAGCUGAGGUGAGAAUUAAUGGGGAUUGUUGGGGGCAUCCGAAUUCAGCCGUCAGAGGUGAAAUUCUUGGAUCUGCUAAAGACGGACAACUGCGAAAGCGUUUGCCCAGGAUGUUUUCAUUGA
rnacentral:rRNA from 1 species